rnacentral:rRNA from 1 species
UAGUCCACACCGUAAACGAUGAAUGCUAGCCGUUGGGCAGUUUACUGUUCAGUGGCGCAGCUAACGCAUUAAGCAUCCCGCCUGGGGAGUACGGUCGCAAGAUUAAAACUCAAAGGAAUAGACGGGGACCCGCACAAGUGGUGGAGCAUGUGGUUUAAUUCGAAGAUACGCGAAGAACCUUACCUAGCCUUGACAUAUAUUAGAACACUUUAGAGAUAGAGUGGUGCCUUCGGGAGCUUUUAUACAGGUGCUGCACGGCUGUCGUCAGCUCGUGUCGUGAGAUGUUGGGUUAAGUCCCGCAACGAGCGCAACCCUCGUCACUAGUUACUAACGGUUCGGCCGAGGACUCUAGUGAGACUGCCUUCGCAAGGAGGAGGAAGGUGAGGACGACGUCAAGUCAUCAUGGCCCUUACGGCUAGGGCAACACACGUGCUACAAUGGCCAGGACAAUGAGACGCGAUACCGCGAGGUGGAGCAAAUCUAUAAACCUGGUCUCAGUUCGGAUU